UGCAUAGAUAUUACUCAGAAUACCGAUUGCGAAGGCAGAUCACUAAUAAUACACUGACGCUGAUGGACGAAAGCGUAGGUAGCGAACAGGAUUAGAUACCCUGGUAGUCUACGCCGUAAACGAUGGUUACUAGCUGUUCGGAUCGAUUGAGAUCUGAGUGGUUAAGCGAAAGUGAUAAGUAACCCACCUGGGGAGUACGUUCGCAAGAAUGAAACUCAAAGGAAUUGACGGGGGCCCGCACAAGCGGUGGAGCAUGUGGUUUAAUUCGAUGAUACGCGAGGAACCUUACCAGGGCUUAAAUGUAGUCUGACAGGGGUGGAAACACCCUUUUCUUCGGACAGAUUACAAGGUGCUGCAUGGUUGUCGUCAGCUCGUGCCGUGAGGUGUCAGGUUAAGUCCUAUAACGAGCGCAACCCCUGUGGUUAGUUGCCAGCGAGUGAAGUCGGGAACUCUAGCCAGACUGCCGGUGCAAACCGCGAGGAAGGUGGGGAUGACGUCAAAUCAUCACGGCCCUUACGUCCUGGGCCACACACGUGCUACAAUGGUAGGGACAGAGAGCAGCCACUUCGCGAGAAGGAGCGAAUCUAUAAACCCUAUCACAGUUCGGAUCGCAGUCUGCAACUCGACUGCGUGAAGCUGGAAUCGCUAGUAAUCGGAUAUCAGCCACGAUCCGGUGAAUACGUUCCCGGGCCUUGUACACACCGCCCGUCAAGCCAUGGAAGCCGGGGGUACCUGAAGUCGGUCACCGCAAGGAGCCGCCUAGGGUAAAACUGGUAACUGGGGCUAAGUCGUAACAAGGUAGCCGUAGAUCUUGC
rnacentral:rRNA from 1 species